AUGGCCGCUCGCAGCGACGGGCGCACUCGUCGCCUUGUCCGCCUCCGCCAGCAGCUGGAUGCGCGCCCUGUCCAUGGCCGCCGCAGCCAGGGUGCGCCCGUCACCAUGGCCAAGCUGCAACCGGCCACGGUGGCGGCGAGUUCAUGCUGGAACCAGGUAUUUAUUUUUGCUGGAUCCACCUUUUUGUUUUGUUACAACCCCUUUCGUUUUUUGCUACCAUCGCCAUUCAAUUGUGAUGCACAUCUUGUUUACUGGAAGCGGUGCCCCGGUUUGCUGCAACCUGAUGGUGUGGUGUAUGUGCUACAAGGUCCACGAGGAGGAAGCUACAUCCAGCGGUGA
rnacentral:rRNA from 1 species